GCUUGGGUAACUCAGCUGGCAGAGCACGAGACUGUUAAUCUAGGGUUGUGUGUCCAAGUCCCACGUUGGGCA